rnacentral:rRNA from 1 species
AUCAACUUUCGAUGGUAGGAUAGAGGCCUACCAUGGUGGUAACGGGUAACGGGGUGUUAGGGCACGACACCGGAGAGGGAGCCUGAGAAACGGCUACCACAUCCAAGGAUGGCAGCAGGCGCGCAAAUUACCCAAUCCCGACACGGGGAGGUAGUGACAAUAAAUAACAAUACGGGGUUCUUUCGGAUCUCGUGAUUGGAAUGAGUACAAUUUAAAUCUCUUAACGAGGAACAAUUGGAGGGCAAGUCUGGUGCCAGCAGCCGCGGUAAUUCCAGCUCCAAUAGCGUAUAUUAAAGUUGUUGCAGUUAAAAAGCUCGUAGUUGAAUUUCGGGGUUAGUAGGUUGGUCAUGCCCCUGGUAUGUACUGGUCUCACUGAUUCCUCCUUCCUGAUGAACCGUAAUGCCAUUAAUUUGGUGUUGCGGGGAAUUUGGACUGUUACUUUGAAAAAAUUAGAGUGUUUAAAGCAGGCUAACGCUUGAAUACAUUAGCAUGGAAUAAUGAAAUAGGACGUUCGAUCCUAUUUUGUUGGUUUCUAGGAUUGACGUAAUGAUUAAUAGGGAUAGUUGGGGGCAUUAGUAUUCAAUUGUCAGAGGUGAAAUUCUUGGAUUUAUUGAAGACUAACUACUGCGAAAGCAUUUGCCAAGGAUGUUUUCAUUAAUCAAGAACGAAAGUUAGGGGAUCGAAGACGAUCAGAUACCGUCGUAGUCUUAACCAUAAACUAUGCCGACUAGGGAUCGGAUGAUGUUAAUUUUUUAAUGACUCAUUCGGCGCCUUACGGGAAACCAAAGUGUUUGGGUUC